rnacentral:misc_RNA from 1 species
GAACGCACAUUGCGCCUCAGAGUAUUCUUUGAGGCAUACCUGUUCGAGCGUCGUUUAGACCAUAAGGCUUUGCCUUGCGUUGAUUCUUCUGGAAUUCUCUUUAUUGAGUAUCCAGGAAUCUAAACAUGUUGGCGUCGUAGUUUGACCAAGACACAGCACAAUGUAUCUGAAAUCUUACUUAUUAAAACGAUUUGCCUUGAAUCAUCUAAUUUUUCUCACGAAGAAUUGUAGGUUCGACCUCGGAUCAGGUAAGACUACCCGCUGAACUUAAG